rnacentral:rRNA from 1 species
AUACUCCAGCGAAGACCUCAUGACACACACGUUCCAACCAGCCCUGGUGGUAAAUCUCAGCUGCCUUGCCCAUCGGCCUUCCCUCACACCUGUGGUGGAAACAGCUUCCUGUUACCAGUUUUGGCCUCUGGGUUCUCCACACGGGGGCACCAGGGAAGUGAGUGCUGCUGGAGAAGUCUCACACGACCAUGCUCUUUGGGCUAGCUUGCGUUUCUGUGUCUAGUCUGUUAUCCCCUCAGCACUGAUACUUGACUUCAUCAACGCACACCUGUCACCAGUCCCCUCCCAUGUUUGUCUAACAGUUACUCCCAAGGUCUCCUGGUCU